rnacentral:rRNA from 1 species
AUCUUGGCAGUAAGAGGCGAAGAAGGACGUAUUCUAAACAACGAUAACCCCGAAGAGAAGUUAAGAAGUCAUUGACUCGGGGGUCUCCGAAUGGGGAAACCUUAUUGAUGGAAACAUUAAUAAUCCUAUAGCAAGUAAAGUAGCUAUAGAGAAGCGAACCUAGGGAAGUGAAACAUCUCAGUACCUAGAGGAAAAGUAAUCAAAAGAGAUUCCGUCAGUAGCGGCGAGCGAAAGCGGAACAUGCCCAAACCAAUAAUAGUAAUAUAAUUGGGGGUUGUAGGACCUUAACAAUAAAUAAAUUUUAAUAAGAGAACAAGUUGGAAAACUAGGCCAAAGAAGGUGAAAGCCCUGUAAAUUAAAUUAAAAUUUAUUUUAAAGGAAUCCUGAGUAAGGCGGGACACGUGGAAUCCUGUUUGAAUCUAGGGGGACCACCCUCUAAGGCAAAAAUACUACUUACUGACCGAUAGUGAACGAGUACCGUGAGGG